rnacentral:miRNA from 1 species
CAUUCAAGUGCAUCGGUUCAAA